UACAGAGGUCUCAAGCGUUGUUCGGAUUCAUUGGGCGUAAAGGGUGCGUAGGUGGCGCCGUAAGUCGGGUGUGAAAUUUCGGAGCUUAACUCCGUAACUGCAUUCGAUACUGCGGUGCUUGAGGACUGGAGAGGAGACUGGAAUUCAUGGUGUAGCAGUGAAAUGCGUAGAGAUCAUGAGGAAGACCAGUGGCGAAGGCGGGUCUCUGGACAGUUCCUGACACUGAGGCACGAAGGCCAGGGGAGCAAACGGG
rnacentral:rRNA from 1 species